UGGAGCCGACCUUGAAAUACCACCCUUUAAUGUUUGAUGUUCUAACGUGGACCCGUAAUCCGGGUUGCGGACAGUGUCUGGUGGGUAGUUUGACUGGGGCGGUCUCCUCCUAAAGAGUAACGGAGGAGCACGAAGGUUGGCUAAUCCUGGUCGGACAUCAGGAGGUUAGUGCAAUGGCAUAAGCCAGCUUGACUGCGAGCGUGACGGCGCGAGCAGGUGCGAAAGCAGGUCAUAGUGAUCCGGUGGUUCUGAAUGGAAGGGCCAUCGCUCAACGGAUAAAAGGUACUCCGGGGAUAACAGGCUGAUACCGCCCAAGAGUUCAUAUCGACGGCGGUGUUUGGCACCUCGAUGUCGGCUCAUCACAUCCUGGGGCUGAAGUAGGUCCCAAGGGUAUGGCUGUUCGCCAUUUAAAGUGGUACGCGAGCUGGGUUUAGAACGUCGUGAGACAGUUCGGUCCCUAUCUGCCGUGGGCGCUGGAGAACUGAGGGGGGCUGCUCCUAGUACGAGAGGACCGGAGUGGACGCAUCACUGGUGUUCGGGUUGUCAUGCC
rnacentral:rRNA from 1 species